GAUGAACGCUGGCGGCGUGCCUAAUACAUGCAAGUCGAACGAAACUUCUUUAUCACCUACUGCUUGCACUCACCGAUAAAGAGUUGAUUGGCGAACGGCUCAUUAACUCGUGGGCAACCUGCCCAAAAGAGGGGGAUAACACUUGGGAACACGUGCUAAUACCGCAUAACCUUAAAUACCGCAUGGUAACUAUGUAAACGGUGGCCAUACUACCUCUUUUGUAUGGUCCUGGGGGGCAUUGGCUAGUUCGUAGGGUCAAGGCUUACCAAGGAACGGAGGCGUAGCCGAAUGGAGAGAUUGAUAGGCAACAUGGGAACUGAACCACGGCCCAAACGCCUACGGGAGGCACCAGUAGGGAAUCGGCGACAAUGGGGGAAAGCCUGAUGGAGCAACGGCGCGUGGGUGAAGAAGGUCUUCGGAUCGUAAAACCCGGUUGUGAGAGAAGAAAGUGCGUGAGCGGAACUGCUCACGUAUCGACGGUAUCUAACCAGAAAGCCACGGCUAACUACGUG
rnacentral:rRNA from 1 species